UAAAGAAACCAGGAGAUUUACAUUUUGUAAAAAGGUGUUUAUACAGAAAAUACAAGUUUAGCCAAUGAAUAUCAUAUUCAAGACUUCGGAUAUUUUCGCUUCGGAAUCCGAUACUGGCAGAAGUUUCACAAAUAUGAGGAAAACCCUCAAUGAACCAGGUCACCAGCUGUUCCUUCUCGAGCUUGACUGUUGUGAAAACCUACCUUGGCGCCCUUUCGGGUUUUCACCAAGGUUGCCCCCACCCUUUUAUUUUUGCUUUUGUUGUUUUUCUUUUCUCUUUUCCUUUUUCUUUUCUUUCUUUUUUUUUCUUUUUUUCUUUUUUUCUUUUUUUUUUCUCUUUCGCUUUUCUUUUUCUUUCGAGAUGCCCUUUCGGGUUUUCACCUAAAGAAGACUGAAAUAUCUCGACCAUGAUCGACUCAGAAACAUGAAUUAAAGAUUUCUGGCAUCAGUAAAAUGUACUUCCCUUGU
rnacentral:lncRNA from 1 species